rnacentral:rRNA from 1 species
UAAAGUUCAUAACGGAGGUAGGAAAUGCUGGCGGCGGCUUAAACAUGCAGUCGAGCGCCCGCAGGGGAGCGGCAGACGGGUGAGUAACGCGUGGGAAUCUACCCUUUUCUACGGAAUAACGCAGGGAAACUUGUGCUAAUACCGUAUGAGCCCUUCGGGGGAAAGAUUUAUCGGGAAAGGAUGAGCCCGCGUUGGAUUAGCUAGUUGGUUGGGUAAAGGCCUACCAAGGCGACGAUCCAUAGCUGGUCUGAGAGGAUGAUCAGCCACAUUGGGACUGAGACACGGCCCAAACUCCUACGGGAGGCAGCAGUGGGGAAUAUUGGACAAUGGGCGCAAGCCUGAUCCAGCCAUGCCGCGUGAGUGAUGAAGGCCCUAGGGUUGUAAAGCUCUUUCACCGGUGAAGAUAAUGACGGUAACCGGAGAAGAAGCCCCGGCUAACUUCGUGCCAGCAGCCGCGGUAAUACGAAGGGGGCUAGCGUUGUUCGGAAUUACUGGGCGUAAAGCGCACGUAGGCGGAUUGUUAAGUGAGGGGUGAAAUCCCAGGGCUCAACCCUGGAACUGCCUUUCAUACUGGCAAUCUAGAGUCCAGAAGAGGUGAGUGGAAUUCCGAGUGUAGAGGUGAAAUUCGUAGAUAUUCGGAGGAACACCAGUGGCGAAGGCGGCUCACUGCUCUGGAACUGACGCUGAGGUGCGAAAGCGUGGGGAGCAAACAGGAUUAGAUACCCUGUAGUCCACGCCGUAAACGAUGAAUGUUAGCCGUCGGGCAGUUUACUGUUCGGUGGCGCAGCUAACGCAUUAAACAUUCCGCCUGGGG